ensembl:lncRNA
GGUGGGAAUGUGGCCCCGGCCUUUCAGAGGCACGGGGCUGCGAGGUGUGGGCUUGGGCUUGCGCCCUCCCUGGAAGUUGAGGCUGGGAUCCCGACUGCGGCCUUUGGCCGUGCCGCCCCGCUGCCUGGCUGCUGAGAGUUGUUCCUGCCGCUGGGGGGGAAACCGAGCUCUGUGGCUCCAGGGGUGUCGUCCACCCGCCUGUAAUCAGGGUCUGGGUGCGCGAGCGUUUGUGCUCUGCUGGCAGCCUGUGUGGGGUGACCGCCCCGUUAGCGGGGUGUGGGUCGAGGUGCCCCGGACUGGGAGAGAAGGAGCCUCUCCCGGCCGUAGGGAUGGGGGCUGCCCUGUAAGUCAGGGAGCAACCGUGCCCCGGAGUCCCAGGCCCUUUGCGUUGGAGGCAGUGGCUGGGGGCCCCCUGUAAGCAGGGAAGCUGGCUCUUUGGCCGCUGCUUUUUGUACGCCCAGCCCCAUUUGCCCAGCCUGCCCGCCUCUGUGAUCCCCCGCAGCACCGGCUGGAAGUCCGCCGCGCGUCAGUGAGGAGCUGCUGCAGAAGAAAGAAGAAGCAGCGGCGUGGGGACCUGGGCGGCAGGAGCGAGCAAGAAGAGGAUGCGGAAGCGUGCAGAUGCGGGGGGGAAGGAGAGAGGCUCCCUGGGCAAAGCACCUGUCCCGUUAGCGGGGCCGCAGUCGCAUUUGAGUUGAGCGUUGCCGGCGCCUUUGGCGACCCGGCCGGCUUUGUGCUGGGCGACCUCCCUGUAAGCAGGGCUCGGGUCUUUGCUGUAGUUGGCCUUUUGCCUUGCUGCUCCUAGGGCUGCCUGGGGAGCGUGGCCCCCUGUAACGGAGGGCGAGAGCCACCUCUCCGCACCUGAGUGGGAAAUGGAGCUCGCCGGACCCCGAGGCCACCCUGUAAGCAGGGUAGUGCCGCUUCCCUGCCCCUCUUUGUCCUCCGGCCCCUCGGCAUCGUUGCCUGGUGGUGGCCUGUCAAUGCGACGGCCCCGUACUCGGGGUGCGCGCCACGGCAUUUGGCCUUUGGCUUUACCCGAGGAGCCCCUUGGCACGUUGAGGUCUGUGGCCUCCGUGCAGCCUAGGG